GUGGUUGUGGCUCAGUGGUAGAGCGCUUGCCUGGUAUGUAUGAGGCACUGGGUUUGAUCCUCAGCACCACA
rnacentral:tRNA from 1 species